rnacentral:rRNA from 1 species
GACGAACGCUGGCGGCGUGCCUAAUACAUGCAAGUAGGACGCAGUUGCGAACGGGUGAGUAACGCGUAGGUAACUACCUAUUAGAGGGGGAUAACUAUUGGCAACGAUAGCUAAUACCGCAUACUAGUAGAUGGACCUGCGUUGUAUUAGCUAGUAGGUAGGGUAAUGGCCUACCUAGGCAACGAUACAUAGCCGACCUGCGAGGGUGAGCGGCGUAGCUGGGACUGGAAGACGGGCCGGACUCCUACGGCAGGCAGCAGUAGGGAAUCUUCGGCAAUGGGGGGAACCCUGACCGAGCAACGCCGCGUGAGUGACGAAUGUUUUCGGAUCGUAAAGCUCUGUUGUUAAGGAAGCGGUACUUAACCAGAAAGGGACGGCUAACUACGUGCCAGCCGCCGCGGUAAUUC